AUUGAACGCUGGCGGCAGGCCUAACACAUGCAAGUCGAGCGGGGUUUUCGGACCUAGCGGCGGACGGGUGAGUAAUGCGUAGGAAGCUGCCCGAUGGAGGGGGAUACCAGUUGGAAACGACUGUUAAUACCGCAUAAUGUCUACGGACCAAAGUGUGGGACCUUCGGGCCACAUGCUAUCGGAUGCGCCUACGUGGGAUUAGCUAGUUGGUGAGGUAAUGGCUCACCAAGGCGACGAUCUCUAGCUGGUUUGAGAGGAUGAUCAGCCACACUGGAACUGAGACACGGUCCAGACUCCUACGGGAGGCAGCAGUGGGGAAUAUUGGACAAUGGGCGCAAGCCUGAUCCAGCCAUGCCGCGUGUGUGAAGAAGGCCUUCGGGUUGUAAAGCACUUUCAGCGAGGAGGAGGGGUGGUGUGUUAAUAGCACAUCAUUUUGACGUUACUCGCAGAAGAAGCACCGGCUAACUCUGUGCCAGCAGCCGCGGUAAUAC
rnacentral:rRNA from 1 species